rnacentral:rRNA from 1 species
CCUACGGGUGGCAGCAGUGAGGAAUAUUGGUCAAUGGUCGUAAGCCUGAACCAGCCAAGCCGCGUGAGGGAUGAAGGUUCUAUGGAUCGUAAACCUCUUUUGUCAGGGAACAAAGUCUGGGACGCGUCCUGGUUUGAAUGUACCUUAUGAAUAAGGAUCGGCUAACUCCGUGCCAGCAGCCGCGGUAAUACGGAGGAUCCGAGCGUUAUCCGGAUUUAUUGGGUUUAAAGGGUGCGUAGGCGGCCUGUUAAGUCAGCGGUGAAAGGCUGGGGCUCAACCAUAGAAUUGCCGUUGAAACUGGGAGGCGUGAGUUGGUGUGAGGUAGGCGGAAUGCGUGGUGUAGCGGUGAAAUGCUUAGAUAUCGCGCAGAACCCCGAUUGCGAAGGCAGCCUGCCAGGCCAUGACUGACGCUGAGGCACGAAAGCGUGGGGAUCAAACAGGAUUAGAUACCCGUGUAGUC